rnacentral:rRNA from 1 species
GAUGAACGCUGGCGGCGUGCCUAAUACAUGCAAGUCGAGCGAACGGACGAGAAGCUUGCUUCUCUGAUGUUAGCGGCGGACGGGUGAGUAACACGUGGAUAACCUACCUAUAAGACUGGGAUAACUUCGGGAAACCGGAGCUAAUACCGGAUAAUAUUUUGAACCGCAUGGUUCAAAAGUGAAAGACGGUCUUGCUGUCACUUAUAGAUGGAUCCGCGCUGCAUUAGCUAGUUGGUAAGGUAACGGCUUACCAAGGCAACGAUGCAUAGCCGACCUGAGAGGGUGAUCGGCCACACUGAAACUGAGACACGGUCCAGACUCCUGCGGGAGGCAGCAGUAGGGAAUCUUCCGCAAUGGGCGAAAGCCUGACGGAGCAACGCCGCGUGAGUGAUGAAGGUCUUCGGAUCGUAAAACUCUGUUAUUAGGGAAGAACAUAUGUGUAAGUAACUGUGCACAUCGUGACGGUACCUAAUCAGAAAGCCACGGCUAACUACG